rnacentral:rRNA from 1 species
CCUACGGGAGGCAGCAGUGGGGAAUAUUGGACAAUGGACCAAAAGUCUGAUCCAGCAAUUCUGUGUGCACGAUGAAGGUCUUCGGAUCGUAAAGUGCUUUCAGGUGGGAAGAAAAAAAUGACGGUACCACCAGAAGAAGCGACGGCUAAAUACGUGCCAGCAGCCGCGGUAAUACGUAUGUCGCAAGCGUUAUCCGGAAUUAUUGGGCGUAAAGCGCGUCUAGGCGGCCUUUUAAGUCUGAUGUGAAAAUGCGGGGCUCAACUCCGUAUUGCGUUGGAAACUGGAAGGCUAGAGUAUCAGAGAGGUGGGCGGAACUACAAGUGUAGAGGUGAAAUUCGUAGAUAUUUGUAGGAAUGCCGAUUGGGAAGCCAGCUCACUGGAUGAAUACUGACGCUGAAGCGCGAAAGCGUGGGGAGCAAACGGGAUUAGAUACCCUGGUAGUCCACGCCGUAAACGAUGAGUGCUAAGUGUUAGAGGGUUUCCGCCCUUUAGUGCUGAAGUUAACGCAUUAAGCACUCCGCCUGGGGAGUACGGCCGCAAGGCUGAAACUCAAAUGAAUUGACGGA